GAACCCGAAGCCUGCCCGCGGGGCUCCUGGUAACGCCGGAGCGGUCGGGCUGUGCUGCGGGGUGGUGUGGGUUUAACCGCAGCGGCGUGGGCUGCAGACCGCGGUCUCCUCCCUCGAGGCAGCAGGAUAAGAUAAAUCGUGGUACUCCUGCAGCCCGUUUGGUUUAUCUGAUCCCCGGGGUAUGUGGGGCCGGCUGACCCCCUCUGCUAAACCCACCUUUGCAGCCUGUGAUUGUCUCCGUUGGGAAGCAGCGGCUCUGCAGCUGGGCACAGCCUGCUGUGUGGUGGCAGAGGAUCACAGAAUCACCCGGGAUGGGUGGGAUGGAGGGCCUCUCAUCAUCCCACCUGGCCCGGGCUGCUCUGCGCAGAAAGAAGAGAUGGGGAAAGAAUCUGCACCCAGCGUGCCCUGUCAGUGCUGUGCCUCGAGGUCACACCAUCGAGUUUGUGAUGGUGACAAGCCAGAGCCCAAAAAGAGCAAGCAACAGACAGAGUUUUUCUCCGGAACCUGAGCCCAUGACACUCUUGUUCAUUUCUAAUCGUCACAAAUGGCUGGAGGUAUCAAUGGGCUCCAGCCAGAGCAAUAGGUGAAGGGGCUGAAGGACAGGUGGCCUUCCAAGCAGGAAGAUGCCAGCUGCUCCCUCACAGCAGUCUGAUUCUCUAUUGGAACACAGCCCCACAGACAUCUCAUCAGUGCUCUUCUGCUGCUGGGAGAGAAACCAGCAGCCACCCAGCAUCAGUUAGUCUGCUCCAGCAGAGGCUAAGCGGGUGUCAAUUCAGUCAUAAAUGCCAUGUUGCUCUAAGCACAUACACCAAAGAUGCUGAAGCCAAAGGCCUUUCCUACCAUGCCAAAUGAACAGCUCAUGUAAUAAAUGGGCAGUCUUCAGAUUAAUUGUUCUCAGUAUGAACAAACAGAAAUGCAAUUUAAUUCAGCAUCAAAUGGUUGAGGUCUGCUGUUUAUCCUCCACUGCUAGGAAACUGGACCAGAGAACACAGAUGAGGCAGAUCACAGUGCUAUAGUAAUAAUUCCUUUCAGAGUUUAUUUCUGCCUUGUUUUUCCACUAUUCUCUUUUUUUAAAGGACAUGCACUUGGAGGAAAUAGCCCUUAGUCUGCAAAGAAGGAAGAGAGAACAUUGGGCUGAGGAGUUCCUCUUCUCACACCAAAAUGACUGGAGGUCACACCAGAUGCUUGCCCAGCAUCAGCUGGAUGGGAGAUGUCUGGAUACACAAUUUCAUCCUAAGAGUAAACUGUCAAGCUUGUACCAGAAGCUGAUGGAGGAUGCAGAAGUUGGCUUUCAGAUGACAAGGCUUUUCAGGUAACACAAUUGCCUGCCUUCCACACAAGACUGUAGGGGCUGAAGCAUGGACCAAAUGCCAGGCUAGCGAGAGACCCUCACUUCAAUGCUGAGCAUCAAGAAGAGUGGGCCAGUGCCCCAAAGAAGGACUCAGACCACUGCACAUGGGGGAAAAACACCAGAAUCUCACAAGUUUUGCAGCUCUUCCUACCAGCUGUUAAGGACAGACAAGGGACCAGUACCACCUUCAAAAGGGUACAAGAUGCUCCUUUGGCAGUUAAAGAAAACCAGCAAAUGCAGAUCCAAACUACAGUUAUGCCGCGGAUCUUACAUUUUCCAAAGUGACUGUCUCCUUCAGGCAACAUCAAGGACUCAUCUGACAAUACAAGCAGCACUCUUUGUCUGAAUUCUCAUCUUAAAGCACAUGACUUCCUUUUUUAAAUUAAGUUGCUAACUUAAUAACAGCCCUGUCUUUUAGAGUGCCAAUUUAAUGCCUGUAGAUAAAAUAUGAUGCAGUUAUUAAAGAGCAGGUAGCAGCACACCCCAUCAUCUCCCUGAGUGAAGUGUGGGCCAAUCCAUCACAACAUAAGACGUUGUGUUCCAGCUGGUGAAAGGGAGUAGCAGAUGGGGAUGGGGGAGUGCAUUUCCAAACACAGAGCUAGUCUGCGGUGGUGCAAUUUAUCUGGGACAUACAAUUAGUUCAGGAAAAGCAGAGAGGUUUGAAUAAAUGAAAUGAAUUUCGUAUAAGUGGGCCUUGUCUGCAUGCAGAAAUCUUGUUGGUAUAACUCUAGCAAAAUUGUACAGAUCUGGGUGUGAAGCCCUAUCUAGAUACUUUCACUUGGUUUCAGGGUGACUGAAUUACCAACGUCAUCCAUACUCAGCCAAAGAACCUUUUGCAUAAGCUUAACCUUUGCAACAUAUUCCUGUACCUGAUACUGUCACAGCUUUAUUCUCUAGUAUGUUAACAUAAGAUUGCUGUUUCUUCUGAGCAAGUUCCACUUAGUUUUUCAGAUUCAUGCAUCCCCUGGGCCUCCCUGAAUCUGCUGAGCCCACAGAGAAAUGCAUUUUAGUUCAGUGAAUUCAUUGAGAUCCUCACUGCAUCAUGAAGACAGAAACCUGAGGUGAGUCAGCAUUCAGAACACAGCAAAACAUUCUUAACAGGUACCUUUAAAGUAAAGAGACAGAAGAGAUAUCUGAAAUGCCCCAAAAGUGAUAUCUGUUCAUCUGACACAAACCAGGAUCGAGUCUGUGAAAUCCCAACUCCACCAUCCAUAGAGGUGAAGGAAUCAAAACAAGAGCUGAGUCCUCAUGUGAAAAUAUUGCAGUUCACUCAUUUUACCUCAGUUUUCUUGGUAUAUUUUCCAGAUAUGUGUGUAUGUGUUUCUGAUUUUAUAUCUAUUACAUAACUUUCAUGAAUUACUUGAUUCCAUCAGGACUGCUGUAGCCCAGAUAGUUCUGUAGAUGUUGUAUCUAUCUCGAUGGUGUCCAAGAGUACAGUAAAUGAUAUGCAGCAGCAUGCAAGGACUCAGAGUGCCUGAGAUUAAAAAACGAAGAAAUUUCAGUUUAUCAUUUUGUCUUUUCCACAGGUAAAGCUGCCAUAGGCCUUUACGGCUGCUACAGGCCGUAAUCCUCCUUGUCUGAAGCCAAAUAACACAGAGAAUCAAAAUGCCUUUGCGAGCUUUGAAAUGAAACAGUAAGAAGUCUAGAGAAGAUAAUUCCAUUACAAUCUUUAUAGUUGGGCACAUCCAGUAUAGUCAAUGAAGGAGAUAGACAGUAAUCUCAACCAUAAUUGCUUUUGAAAAGAUUUGUUUAUCUAUUCUUUCCUUAGUCGAAUAUCCAGGCAACAGAAUCACUCAAAAAAUCAGAAUUCUGCUGUAUUUCUUACCCUUCCCCCCAGCAAUUUCUUCACGCAUACUGUUAUGUUAUCUUACAGUUCUCAUCUCAUCUCAUCUCAUUUAGUGGGAGCUAUUGGUAAUAGAUGAACUGUUGGACUGGAUGAUCUUUUAGGUCUUUUCCAACCUUGGUGAUUCUAUGAUUCUAUCUGGCCGUUUCUUGGUGCCCUAAAGAGUACUAGCUAAAUGACAGAUCUCCAGAAAAGUAAGAGCCUUGUUACUUUUUGCUUUACUUUCCCUCCCUCCUGAAAACCACUAUGGCCAAAACUGGAGCAGGGAAGCUGGGUAUCAGAAACACAUGCUUUGCAUUGGUGAGAGUGAAGAAGGGCUGUGUGAGCUGUGUGGCACUGCACCCAGCCAGUCUCUGUGCUUGGUGGAGAGGCUUGAUUGCAAGGGCUGCAAAUUUAGAACAAGGGACAAGAGGGCACUGUCUCCUCCUGAGGCUGGUCUGUCAACCCUAGCAGAUGAAUAAAGAUCAGUGUCACAUAAAUAUUUCAGGUCUUCUUUGUUUGUUUUGGGUGUUGAGGCGAUCAGUGCUGUCAUUGGUUGACUAUUAAAGUUAUAUCUGAACAAGGAGAAGUUAUUAAACAGUCCCAAGAAAAGUUAACAGCAAUUGAAAUAUCUCCUUCAGAGAAUUUACUGAAGCAACACAGCAGAAGUUGAAUAAUUCCUCCCUUGGAUUGUCUCUAGCUGGCUUCAAGUGGCCAAGUUCACUUAACACUGACCAACAAGGAAUUGAUCUCAUCAGUUUU